rnacentral:rRNA from 1 species
GACGAACGCUGGCGGCGUGCUUAACACCUGCCAGUCGAACGAAGUGGCGAACGGGUGAGUAACGCGUAAUCAACCUGCCCUUCAGAGGGGGACAACAGUUGGAAACGACUGCUAAUACCGCAUACUGAAGGAGGGGAUUGCGUCUGAUUAGCUAGUUGGAGGGGUAACGGCCCACCAAGGCGAUGAUCAGUAGCCGGGCUUGGGGGGUGAACGGCCACAUUGGGACUGGGAAACGGCCCAGACUCCUACGGGGGGGAGCAGGGGGGAAUCUUCCGCAAAGGAGGAAAGUCUGGCGGAGCAACGCCGCGUGGUGGAUGACGGCCUUCGGGUUGUAAAGCUCUGUUAAUCGGGACGCGGUACCGGAAUAGAAAGCCACGGCUAACUACGUGCCAGCAGCCGCGGUAAUAC